rnacentral:ncRNA from 1 species
CAAAAUCUGAGUUUGAUCCUGGCUCAGAAGGAACGCUAGCUAUAUGCUUAACACAUGCAGGUCGAACAUUGUUUUCGGGGAGCUGGGCAGAAGGAAAAGAGGCUCCUAGCUAAAGUUGUCUCGCCCUGCUUCAAAACUACAGGGCGCGCGCUACGGCUUUGACCUAACGGCCUCCGUUUGCUGGAAUCGGAAUAGUUGAGAACAAAGUGGCGAACGGGUGCAUAACGCGUGGGAAUCUGCCGAACAGUUCGGGCCAAAUCCUGAAGAAAGCUCAAAAGCGCUGUUU